AUGGCUUCAUCGGGUUCCACGACGAGGCCACGGUGCGCUGACCAAGAGGACAUGCCGAGCAAGUGGGAGGAGGCAAGGUUGGACAAGACAAAGGAGAAGGAUGUGAAAACCCCUUCAUGUUGGUGUGCAGAUGAGUGCAAGGUGAAGGUCUCCACUGACCGGAAGAAGUCGUGGACGAAAGGAAGAAGAUAUUUUGUGUGUCCCAACUAUGCACAUGAUCAUGCGCGUCCCACUAAUGCCUAUGACAUCCCACCGGUAGGUUAG
rnacentral:rRNA from 1 species